GGAGUCUCGCUCCCGGCUUUUGGGUUUGAGCGGCUCACGGAUAUCAUUUACCUCAACCUCUCUGAUACCGGUUUUACGGGUAAGAUCCCAAUUGGAAUUGCGUGCCUCAAGAACCUUGUGACCAUUGACUUGUCUGGUAAUUACAACUUGUAUUUUGAACGGCCAAGUUUCCUAACCAUCAUGGCAAAUAUGAGCAAUCUGAGGAAGCUUUAUCUUGAUAAAGUGGAUUUACAGAACAUCGGAUCGGAUUGGUCCACUGUUUUAGCAGACUCCGUUCCCCAGCUACAGAUUCUUAGCUUGUCCGGGUGUCUUAUAUCAGGUUCUAUCCACCCUUCAUUCUCAAGUUUGAGGACGCUUGAUUUGUCCUGUAACCCCAUGCUUUCUGUGAGAUUAACAUAUUUCCCAGCUGGAAACAAUUUGGAAGUACUAAAUCUGGCAGGGACCAAUUUCUCUUAUGACACGCCAUCCUCGUUUGGCAAUCUUGGGUCUUUGAAGAAAUUGAUGCUUAGCACGAUGGGAAUUGAUAAUGAACUCGCCUCUUUGAUAUCCGAGCUUCCAGCAUUGGAUGACCUGCAACUCACUGGAUCAGAUUUGGAGAAACCGGUAUUAUCUUGGGUCAGCAAUCUUACCCAAUUGACAAACCUGUUGCUUGAUGGUUAUGACUUCUCUAAAUCGGUUCCCACUUGGAUCGGCAGAUUGACAAGGCUGGAAAGUUUGUCAAUAUGGGAUUGCAGUUUCUCCGUGCCAAUACCAUACCAGAUUAGAAAUCUUACUAAAUUGGCAGCACUGGAGUUCUACAUUUGCGACUUCUCUGAGCAAACAAUGCCAUCAUGGAUAGGCAAUCUUACAAAGUUGACUUCUUUGAGCAUUUAUUAUUGCAGUUUAUCUGGGCCAAUACCCUCAACAAUUGGGAACCUGAUCCAACUUGAAGAGUUGGUGUUCUGGGAUACUGACAUCAGCGGUGAGACUAUGUCCCAGUUACUUUGUUUCUAGAUAUCUCGUUUCAUUUUGCAACUGUAGACAGAUUAUACACCUACUAUAUGACACGCCAUGCAUACACCGUUAAAAAAAAAUAAUGAAUGUAAGUGAAGAAGAAAAUUUAACACUACCAAAUCACCAGAGUGACCUUCAGAAAACAAGAAAAAGGCUUUGGCUAGUAAUUUUCAGCAAUGUUGAGAAAAGAAAAACCCUGAUAUUUUCACUUUGAGUCUAUGACCAAAUUUCCAUAGUUUAGCAGUUUGGAAGGUUAGAUGCCUUUAACACUAGUACACACGAGUCACGACUCAGGUCUUCUUUUCCUUCUUUUUGUUUCUCUCUUGACAUGAUACAUUUCAGAUACCAUAAUACAGUAUUGGUCUGUUGACAAAUAUACCAAGGAAUAUUAAUUUUUUUGGACAGGCCUUUUUUUAUUAUUUUGACCAGAUUUACAUGUAAAUGUUCUCUAACGAGAAAUCAACUUUAGAAUAUAUCAUUUGUAGAUCGAAACACUGGAUCUGUAAAAUAUAUAUUGAAUAUGUUGUGUUAACAUUAUUCGGCUUUCUCCGGUCUAAGGCCUCUUUGAAACAAAGGAACAACAAAAGGAAGGACUAGUUUUUUGAGCAUGGUCUCUCUCCCUCUCCCUCUCUCUCAAACCUGAGUGUGGUCUGGAUUUUCUAUUUGUUAUGAUUUGUGAAGGAAGAGGACCCUUUCUUGUGGAAUUGGAAUUGGAGGGUGCAUUCCAAAAUUUCAAAAUUCAAACGGUUCUUUCCUUUCCUCCAGAACGCAGUUACUUUUGUGUCCUUACCCCCUCAGUGUCGUUGCUUCUUUAGGCCAGUCUCAAUGCACAAUUUCAUUGCAAUGUUACCAAAAUUAAAAAAUUUGGUAACUGUGCAUGUUGGGUUUCAUGGGGAUGAAACUCCUCUCUCAUUUCAUGAAACUCCAUCCUCUCUCUCCUCGUAAAGACCUUGACAAAUCAGCAAAAUUGCUGAUGUGGUAUAGAAAUUUAUACUGACAAAACUUUUUAUAAAACUCCCAUUGAGACUGGCCUUAGAUUGCAGCAACAUUCGGAUAUGUUUAGCUCCAAUGUAAUGAGAUGCUAAUUUGGUUCAAUUUCAUACUAGCGCUUUCAGUGUGAAGAAGCAUUAAUAAAGUCUACAACAUUCUAACUGUUGGUAUUCUACCCUAACAUGCAGGAAAAAUUCCGAAGUCUUUGUUCGCUCUUCCAGUCCUGCAGCAGCUUCGUCUAGUUAGGAAUCAGCUUGUUGGCUCACUAGAAGACAUUCCUGCUCCUUUAUCGUCACCAAUGCGGGAGAUGGAUUUAAGAGGUAAUCAAUUGACAGGCCCAAUACCAAAAUCACUUUUUCAGCUCACGAAACUUGAGCGUCUUCAUCUAGCUAGGAAUCAGCUUGUUGGCUCAAUAGAAGACAUUCCUGCUCCUUUAUCGUCACUAUUGUUGGAGAUCGAUUUAAGGGGUAACCAAUUGACAGGCCCAAUACCAAAAUCACUUUUUCAGCUCACAAAUCUUGAGUAUCUCGAUCUUGGCUCGAAUAAAUUGACAGGCACAAUAGAACUUGGCUCUAUAUGGAGGUUGAAAAAUCUCAUUGAUCUCGACCUGGGUAACAAUAUGAUAUCACUCGUAGAAAAAGAAGGUGAUACGAUAUUCUCUUAUUCCCUUAAAAUCCGGACCUUAUACCUUGCAUCUUGCAACCUUACAAAAUUUCCGGAAUCAUUAAAAUAUCUUGACACUAUUCAAAGGCUCGACCUUUCCAAUAACCAAAUUGAAGGGGCCAUACCAAGUUGGUUGUGGGAGAAACCCCUGGUUAGGUUGAACCUCUCACACAACAUGUUUACUACUUUAGAGAGGUCUCCUACUUUUCAGAUGACAGAUUUAGAUUCUCUUGAUCUCAGUUUUAAUAGAAUUCAAGGAAGCAUACCAAUACCAUCAACUCCAUCUUACCUAGUUCUGUUGGAUUACUCAAAUAAUGACUUCUCUACCAUGGAACCUAACUUUGGCAGGUAUCUUAGAAAUGCCAUCUACAUCAAUUUGUCAAAAAAUAAAUUAAGUGGCCAUGUACCACUUUCAUUUUGUAGUUUAAACCAACUUAAGCUCAUGGACUUAUCUUACAAUAACUUUAGUGGACCAAUUCCAUCAUGUCUUAUGGAAAGAGUUGACCUGAGCAUAUUGAAGUUAAGAGGAAACAAAUUACAUGGCGUGCUACCUGAAAAUAUCAGAGAAGGAUGUAAGCUUCAGACAAUUGAUUUCAAUGAAAAUCAAAUUGAAGGUGCGCUACCUAGAUCACUAGCAAAAUGCCAAGACUUAGAGGUUCUUGAUGUUGGCAGUAAUCAUAUUGUAGAUUCAUUUCCAUCAUGGAUGGGUACUCUUCCAAAGCUUCAAAUUCUUGUGUUGAGAUCUAACAAACUCUAUGGCACUAUAAGGGAUCUUCGCAGGGGCUACCAACACUUUACAAGUUUGCAAAUAGUUGAUUUGGCCUCCAACCAUUUCUCUGGUGACUUACAUUCCGAAUGGUUUGAGAAUUUUAUUUCAAUGAUGAAUAACAGCAAUGAUGAGGGGCAGAUAUUAGAGCACCAUCCAACUGCAGCAAUGGCACGAUUGUAUCAAGAUACUGUCACUAUCACAUUCAAAGAUGCUGUUUUAAGCAUCACCAAAAUCCUUCGUGCUUUCAAAGUAAUUGAUUUGUCAAAUAACUCAUUUGAGGGUUCCAUUCCAAGUUCAAUUGGAAGACUUGCUUCACUUCACGGACUUAACAUGUCGCACAAUAACUUCACGGGAGAAAUUCCAUCACAACUUGGGAAGUUAACAAGGUUGGAAUCAAUGGAUCUCUCUUGCAACCAUCUCUCGGAAGAAAUUCCACAGGAGUUUACCUCUCUAACUUCUCUUUCCUGGUUGAACCUUUCGUACAACAACUUGACAGGAAGAAUACCGCAGGGAAACCAAUUCUUGUCAUUUCCCAGCAGUUCGUUUGAAGGCAAUGCUGGCCUAUGUGGAAUUCAGCUUUCCAAGGAAUGUGACCCUCAUCCAGAUUCAACCACCCCAAGCACAUUGGCUCCAGAACACAAUGCUUUGUGGCAGGAUAGACUCGACGCCAUCAUUUUGUUCCUCUGUGCUGGCUUGGGCUUUGGCGUGGGUUUUGCAUUGGCAAUCAUAUUCGGUCCCUUUUACCACAUAGAAGAAUGGCUUUGCAAGCAUUUGUAAUAGUAAUAUAAGUUUUCAACAAGAAUAAUUAUGUAUGUUUGUGCUGUACUCGUUAUUAGAUGAGACAACUUAAAUCCACUCAGUUGUAAUUACGUUGUAACUAGUCCACCAACCCGUACUUCCACAUGGGCCAAUAUUUUUAAAAACUGUUGUAUUUGAAAAUUAUUUAGAAAUUAAACUCCAAGCUAAUAAUAAAAAGGGUUUACUUAUUACUCUCUCAUUUUUUCAAUACUUCAACAUAUUACUCAUAUGAUGUGUACUUAUCUCUGUUCAGUUGUGAUUGAUUUUUAAUUAGUAAUUACUCUAUACACUUUUUCAUCACAUUCACACUUUUUCAUUUUAUAUUGCACCUCCAUACAUUGUGUUUAGCAUCAAAAUUAAUAUUUCCAUCACUUCCUCACAUACAUGUAUAAAUGGUCUUCAUGGCGAUACUCAUCAUGUCUAUAUACCUUAACUUAGUAUUUCUCUAUUAACAAGAACAUAAACUAGUAACUAGAAUCAUAUAUUAGUUUUUUUGGACAUUUCUGUAUGAUGCACAUGCACAAAGAUAAUUAGAUUAAGAAUUAGGUGUUUACUUUAGAUUAUUUUUAAAAACGACAUACAUGGGUAACUUAGAUACAAACUUAGAAUGUCAUUUUAAGUUAUGCUUUAUAAUGAUAGACAUGAGUAAAUUGGAUGAAGAUUAUGGGCUUACUUUACAUUAUUUUUUAUAAUGGCAGAGCUCGGUAAUUUAGAUAUAGGUUUAGUGUUUAAAUGAUAGUGGUGGGUAACUUUUUAGAAACUAUAAUAUACCAAUGACUAUGAUUAAUAUAGUUUGCAUGAUCGAUAUUUGAUAUUUAUGAUUUUUAUGAGAAUUUCUAGGAUUUGUGUUUUUUAGCGUAUCUCUUCGUGCAGCCGUUGAGUUGUCCACUUAUGAUCCUAGGUAGCUUCACCUGGAGGCUUUAAAAGGAGACUCCAAUUAGUAAUAGUUACUGCAUUUCAUAAGUGAUUUUCAAAGAUAAUUUUUUGAGGCAAUAAAAAAAGUUGUGAUAUCACCUAGGUCUCAAAGAAAGUUGUGAUACCACUCUCCUUUUUGUUUUAUUUUUAUUUUAUUUUUCUGAUUCUCAUGUGUACAGCUUUGCAUGAUCAAGAAAAUUUAGGUAUGGUCUCCUCUCCCGACUUCUUCCUUUAAAAUUUGACAUCGAAGCGUGCGGAUUCUUCAUUUCAGGUGUUUCUUCUCAUUUUUCUUCGUUUUCUUUUCUUUUCCAAUUGUAGCUCAUUUUUCUUUUCAGCCCAUUCUUCUUUAUUUCAGGUGUCCGGAUUCUUUUCUUUUCGUUUUCUUUCCGUAUGCUCCUCUUGACCUUCAAUAUGCUUAACAUGUCAAACAAUAACUUCACGGGACAUAUUCCACCAGAACUUGUUAACUGUUGGCGGUCCUUAAAUACCAUAUCCGACCAUCAAUUCUAAUAAAGAAUAGUGAAAUAACAAAAACCAAACUAGAGAUAGGGGUUUAACUCUAACCAUUUUCACAAGCUUUGGUGAAUCAUUGUUUACAGGAGAUCGCGUCUCCAUACGAGGGAAAACAUGCUCAAACCCAUGAAGAAACACACGCUUCGGCCUAUCCUGAUAGAGCAUGAUACAAGAAGGGCCCACAUGACAUACUGUUGGCGCUAAAGAUCAGCCGAUCGAAUCUCAGCGUCGGACACACGACCCGGGAGAAUCUGCUUAACUCCUAUUCGGGUGAUCGCCCUAGUGCGGUUCGCGCGGCGUGCCAGCCAAUCUGACCUGUUGAUUGGCAAGGAAAGAAACGUGUCAGAUCCCAGAGGUUGCGAUCGGCUAAGGUUCCGAUCUCGAGGAAGCUUGUCAGCGACUCGGCCGAUUUGCUAUAAUAAGGAAAUCGGCUAUAGCGCAGCCGACUACUAGGUAACAUUUGUGAAGAAAGCUAUCAGAGUAAACUAAAAAAACGCUACAAUAGCAACACUUGAAACAGAUCUAAUCGGCUAUGCAAAAGCAGCGGAUAAGCGAUAAAUAUAAGUAAGCCGAAAGCUCUAAUUCCAAGCUAGAUAACUGGUGAUAAAAUUAGAACAGUAGGUAAACCCUAGAAUUCUAGUAAAUAUCGAUAACUGAUGAAUAAAUCUAAACGAAAUGACAGCGAUGCGCCCGAAGUUAAAGCUUAGAUAUUACUCGAUAAACGGAACUUACAGAAUCGUCCGGAGAUCAAGUCGAUGCAGCCCCGCCAACCCGUACGAACUCGUGGAAAGAAGAAAAGUACUGGCGAAGUCGCCGACUUAAAAAUAAAGUACGAGGAAAUAGUAGAUUGUUGUAUUGAUUUGAUGUUGUUUUUUCAGAUCUCUAAAGACGGCUAUUUAUAGCCUGUUACAACCAAUCUCUUAACCGACUAGGACUCUAUCUCUAAUAUUAAACGAAAAUGAAUAUUUACAAGCAUAACUCGUAUCGGAGUUGGUCGCCGCGCUCUUGUGGGCCAAUCCCCCCAUUAUCUUCGUAAUCCACUUUAAGCCCAUACUGGCCCAAUUGCUCCAGCCUCUUAAUCGGCCGAUCUGUACCAACUCCGUCCGCCAAAACACUGCAGCGUCAAUCGGCCAAUCUCCAACUAUAGCACCAAUCGGCCGAUUCCCAAUCGUGACCUUUUCAUCCUGCCGCAUCAGCUAAUCCUUCCCUUUCUUGACGCCGAUUCCAUACGUGUCAAAAAUUGGCGUCAACACAUACCAAAUCGCCUUAUCUUGGCGCGGGCCACCCUAGAUCCACAUGAGGAGCCCACAAGGAUCCACGACCAAAUUUGGGCCCAAACGGAGCCAGUAGGGGCUUGGCCGAACCCAUGGUUCGACCAAUCUGCCACUGGGCCCGAUCAAGCCCAUCUUUCGUGUGGAGUCUCCCACUGCCUUACUCGAGGCGGUUGCGGGAGGUUGGCGCGAAGCAACAAACCUGGACAUGGGAUCCUUCAGGAGUGGAGGGGAUAGAGGGAAUAUUCUAUGGGAUCUUUGGAGCAUAUCCACUCCCCCAAGGCUCCCUCUCCAAUAUAAAAGACCCCUUUGUCUCCAUUCAGCAAACAACAACACACAAGAGAAGAAGAGCUCCACCACUCCAAGGUAAAGGCCUACCUCUGUAGUGCUUAGAAAAUAGGGAGAGAGUGAGAGGUAGUUCGGAGAAGUGCUUAGAAAAAAGUUGUGAUAUCACCUAGACCUCAAAGAAAGUUGUGAUACUACUCUCCUUUUUGUUUUCUUUUUAUUUUUUUCUGAUUCUCAUGAGUACAGCUUUGCAUGAUCAAUAAAAUUUAGGUAUGGUCUCCCCUCCCGACUUCUUCCUUUAAAAUUUGACAUCGAAGCGUGUGGAUUCUUCAUUUCAGGUGUUUCUUCUCAUUUUUCUUCGUUUUCUUUUCUUUUACAAUUGCAGCUCAUUUUUCUUUUCAGCCCAUUCAUCUUUAUUUCAGGUGUGCAGAUUCUUUUCUUCUCCUUUUCUUUCCAUAUGCUCCUCUUGACCUCUUGGUUUUUACUACUACACUAGUGUGAUCAAGAAAUAUCUUGAAGCUUAGUUGUCUAUUAGCUAUACAUGAGUUGUUACCUAGUUGGCAUAUGUGAGUUGUUAUCUAGUUGUCAUAUUUGUUGUGAGUGAGUUGUGUCAGUCUUAUGAGCCUAUAAAUAGAGGCAAGCCUCAAGUUUGUAACUUGGUUUUGAUGUACCCACUACCUUAUGAAUAGGACAUGUUCUACCCUUUAGAUCUUGUACACUAAGGGCUUUGGACUAAACUCUUGCUAUCCAUGGAUUUGGAUUCGACCUUUUGAUCCAUCUUUGACUCUAGAACGAUAUGUAGCUCAGCACGUUGAAGUGGUUCCUUCAACACUUUGUGCUGUUUCUACCUAUUAGCACAUUGGAGAGGUUCCUCCAAUACUUGUGCUAUAUUUAUCUAUUUGUAGCAGCACCGUGGAGCUGUUCCUCCACAUUAGUGUUCUGAACUGCACCGUUGUAAUUCCACCAUAGAAAUAGGGCCAGUUCCGCCAUCAUCCAUUUAUGCACCAUACAUUUGUCAUGCGCUUUCCAGUUUGUAUUCCCAAAAUAGCAGAAUUCUUGAUAUGCUGGUUGUGACAGUAGCAUCAUCUCCAGACCUUUAGCUAACAUAUAUCCUUGCAUAGCUAUUUGUAACAGCUUACUCAGUGUUUGUCGCCACUCGAGAAUUGACCAGUUAAAUGGGCAUGCAGCUACACAAGAGAAAUGACUGCAAUAGUUCUCUUGGUAUGUAAAUACAUCCAUUUCUUGACCAUUAGGUUAACCAGACCGCUCAGCUGUAACCAUCCAUCCAUAUUGCAGGCUUCAUGAUCAAAUAAAAUAGCAUGAAGGUAUGACUGAAACAAACCAAGUCCUCGCCUGUAGCAAACAUCAAAUUGAUUCCCACACUCCAUCCUGAUUUGAAAAUGGAAAGGCCUCACUAUGCACAUGCUCAGUAGGUAAAUUUGUACGCAAGAAGAUUUUAUCUCUGAUGCCAUGGUUCCUAAGACAGCCACUUCACAAUUCUUACCAUUGAUGAUCCUAGAAUCAUAAGAUGCACAUCACUAGUUGAAUGAAGGUAAUCUUUCAACCACUGCUUUCUCACCUUGACUCUAGUAGAAUUGGCAGUCAAUAUGGACCACAGCCAUAAGGAUAUAUUUUGCACUACCAGCAUACUCACACAUGCAUUUCAGUUACUUGACAUUAUUAGAUCUACGAAGUAAUAGUCCUUCACCUAGAACUGUAUGCUGAAAUCGUCAUACCAUACCUCUCACACAUCCAUGUGGUUUGGACUGUGGACUGACCAACACAUCAGCCGCUAUUAGCCAUUGGUGUUUUUGACAGCAUUCUAACUUGAUAGCAACUAAAACUGAAAGCCGGCCAAGGUGCUGGUUGUAUCUCAGCACCACUAUCCAUAAUAUCCAGUUGUAUUGGCGGUGGCCAUGGAUGCUUCAGAAGCUCACCAUCUCUGCUUGGCUGAAUGGCGUCCACAAUAUUGGCCUUAGAUCAUCUGCACUGUGCAAACUCCAUGUAGUAUAGCAUGUGGCAGGAACAGGAGUACCGGCAUUACCCUGAACACCUUGCGGGCAUUGUAGACACCAGUGCCAAUACACAGCAGAAACAUGUCAUCUGUUGGAGCCGGGCUCUCGCUGGUGAUUUGGAAGUUGCAGACGUUGUUGCUGUUGAUUGUGGUGAACAAAGUUGGGGUGGUGACUAGAGGCCUAGAGCACUCAUGGUCGGUAGAACACAAGCAUUGUGGAUAUGACUGGGCGUUGAACACCUGUUGGGCGUCACAGAUUAGCACUCCGUAGUGGUGAUAGAGAUGGCUAGGGCGGCAUCCUGGUAAGAGUAGAGGUGGAGGUAGAGGGAGGUGCCGAGGAUGCGGUCUUGGACACCAGAAUGCAGGUGUCACCGUAAAGGGAAGUCUUUGGACACCUUGUGGGCGCCAUCUCUAGAACGUCGCUGGCCCUGACAGAACGACGCAGAAAGCUGUUGGUGAUGCCGAGGUCAUGGCUCUAGGCACUUGAAAGCAGGUAGCCGCCAUCAAACACCUGGUGGGCGCCACUGGUUGAAGCUCCGUGGCCGUGACGAGAAUGACAAUAGAGGCAUCCUGUGGUGGAAAGGAGGUCAGUGAAGGCACAACUGAGCAUUCCUUUCCUCGAUCAUCCGAUUCAUGUCAUCCCACUUCUGAUCUAGUUCUUCAAGGUUGGCUAGUAUCACAGCACACAUCUCCUCCGUCAUGUUCACUCGUAUUCCAAUGCGGUGCUAGUGGUGGUUUUUUGAUCGAAAUAGUUGUGAACCAAAUGUCACACCCUAGAUGCAACUCACAGAACAAAUUAUCUCCCAACAAUGAACUACGGAAUAUAUAUGGAGUAUACUAGAAUUUGGAUACACAUGGAUGAGGAACUCGCUGGUGUUCUCGAGCCGAAGCUCGCCGCCGCAGAGCCGAUGAGUCCCAAAUCCAGUUCUUCUGUCCCUCACGAUGAUAACGCUGCGCCAGCUACGCUAUCUACGCCAGCUACGCUGCUACGCUGCUAGAAUUAGAGUGAGAUGACCAACACAUUCUGCGCCAGCUACGCUGCAGCGAUGCCCGUUCAUGGGCCUAUCUUAACUACCUUAGCCAUUCGGGCCCAACAAGGAUAAUGUUGGGCUUCCGUACCUGAUGGCCCACAACUUCGGCUUUACUGCACUUAAGAUAAAUAUCAUGUACGGUUCACUGGAGAAGCCCUCCACCAGUUGUAGUUGCUAGUUAGUACAGGUCUUAUCUACAACCCUGCAUUAGCUAUCUCACUCUAAUUUGGCUAGCUGUCAGGACAGUCUGCUUACUCGAAACUUGAGGCAUGUUUCUUUAAUAUAAUUUUCUUUUCUUCUUGGAUGUUUAUAGCGCAUACGUGAUCUUUUGAAGUACUGCUAUAGAGAGGAAGACAAGUUCUUCUCAUUUAACAUCUUUUUUUUAAUUUAUUUUUGUUAAACUUUUAGAUCAAUCGUUUGAAUUCUCCUCAAUAUUUGCUUGCUUCAUGUUCUCUUUGUUUUUGUGCAACAGUAUGAUCUUGGAAUAGGAAUGCUGCAAGACAAUUCAAAUAGAAGGUUAGUUUCAUCAUAUUAUAUGGUUAAAAUUACUUUAAAAUUAUAUGGUUAAAAUUACUUUGUAAUGGUUGACUGUCACUGUUGUUUGCAUUGGCAGAUCAUGGAUGGAAUUCCUGCAAGAGCCAAGCACAAACUGUUGUCAGCGCUUCUCUGUUGAUGUUUCGUUUCUCGUUGCCACCUUUCUUGCAGACCGGUUAGGGUUAGGUUACACCAUCUGCUUCAGGUGAUUUCGGGAAUGUGGAAUGUUUCCUCUUCAUUUGAGAAGAAAGAGAGAGUGUUUUGUUGGAAUAUUACUGGUGCGUAGGUUUAUGCAUGGCUUUUCAGGGCUCAAAUCAAGGGGAAAAAAUAGACUAAUGGGCUGGUAAAUUUAUGUUCUGGUAAAAAUAGACUAAUGGCUUUAUUUAGUUCCACGAAUCCUGGUGAACUCCGGAACUUAAAAUGAAAUCCUAAAAUUGUUUCUCUAACCUCCUAUCUCAAUAUGGGCUGUUCUUUUUUUUUUUCUGGUCAACUAUUUCCCCCAACUUACGGACCCAUCUCGGCCUGCAGGCCUGCCGAGGCCUCUUCUCUCCUUUCGUCGUUCGGUCCCUCUAAUUUCGCUCUUGUGCUUGCGCACCAGGCGCCAUCUCUCACCGCGCCAGGAGCUUUGCAGCGCCAGACGGCCCCGCUCCACACCACAAUAUUCUUCCUUGGAACCUGCGGGCUCCGCUGAGCCGCUGCGUGAUCUUCUAUUCGCGACUCUGUGUACCUCGCCAUGUUACAAUUGCCUUCACUUUACUUCAUCAUUGCUCUCUAACCUAGGUACUCGGUUAUGAACAGCGCGCCGGCUAAGCGAGUACCCGGUGAAGGCGAGCGCAACGAGCCCUAGCACAUGGCAUCCAUCGAAAAUACAGAAUUUUCAGAGUAUGGAAUUUUCAGUCCGCGGUGUGGCCAACAUUAUCUUUAUAUGAUUUUAUUUGCAAACCGAGUUUUUAAGUAACAACGUAAAUAAAACACUCUCGUAUCAUUGCUCUAAAGGGGGAGUAAGGAAUAACAGAAAUAACGUCGUGCCAUUCCCCAGAAACAAAGAACAACUGUAAAAAUUGGUUCUAGAUGAAGCUAAAUUGACCAUCGAUGGCGAUUGUGUCAACACGGCAAACAUCCAUACAGCUAGCAUUGACUGACUUGGCUGAUAAAUCCAGGCCACUUCACUGUUGAGUACUUCAGGAAACUCGACAGGUCUUAUGACAAGUCUCGGUUGACUCGAAUUAUUGACCUUAGGACACUGACCUUGAUUUCCUCAUCCCCUUUCCUAUUGUCUUGCGGUCCAGAUGCCCAUUACCCAGUGCCUACCAGUGUGUGCUUCUCCCUCCGAUUGUACAUACGUGCGGGUCCCACAUAUCAGCCCCUUCCAUCCUCUUUACUUUAUAAUCUCCAAAGCAUGGGCCGCCCUUCUUUGUUACCUGUAUGGCUGUAUCACCUCCCCUGCCGAUGAGUGCCCAUGCAUGCUGAUACUUUGGUACCAUCUGCUCCAACCAAGCACCACCUCUCAUGCAAGUCAACAUAGAUGGUAUUUGGUGUCAAUUCACUGCUUAUAUUUUUAAAUGAAUUUAAUAUAAAUUUUGAUUAUCUAUUGCUUCUAAAUUCAUGUCGAAAUUAAUUUGAUAAUUUUUUAACCUAUAAUAUCCUAUACUUCAUUUUAUGAGGAAACUAUCAGAAAAUGAAUUGUAAUUUUUAUGACUCAUAUCUAUUUGCUCUCUUUAUUAGAUAUUUUGCUUUCCAAUUGUAUGUAAAUCAAACUUUUAUUUUAUUUUUAUCAUUCGGAGUUUUAGUUUUUUUAUUACUUCCAUGUCAAGAUGAUAUUCUGGACAAGAUUCCAAUCAACCUUUUGAAAAUCUAACCACUAUUGACAGCUUUUAGAAUAUUCAGUUUGAAAAUUAGAAUACUCAUUGAAAGACAUAAUAUAAUAUUUUGUAUGUUUAUAUAAUAUCUUCUUACUGAAAAUAGCGGCCACACAGCUAUGUUAUCCAAAACACCUUCUUUUCUUUAAGAACAGGGGAACGAUUGUUUUUUUCCUAUUUUAUUAAUAUGAUAUUUUAUAGUCAAUCCGGAGACUUCUUUUCUCUUAGCUUUGCCUUAUUAAAAUAACAAUUGAAGAUUCCGUAACUAUGGUUGGAGCCAGAUAUUUACUUCCAUGGCCCCAGUUCGCUGGUCUUCCUCUCGAGUCAGCGACCGGAAUGUGUGGUUCAGAGCAACCAGAGAACAGAAUAUCUACACACGAUUGAUUGGAAUUUGGAAACUGCAAACCAGUAGCGCAAUGGCUCCUGCCAAGGAUCGCCUCCACAACCUUCUGGUCCUGCUCUUGUUCAUAGGUUGCCUCUUCAUAGAUGCUGCCGCCAAGCUUAACACCACAGCGCCUUGCCUCCCGGAUCAAGCUUCUUCCCUCCUCCGGCUAAAAGCUUCCUUCAUCGGUGACAACCUACCAUCAUGGCAAGCUGCAACAGAUUGUUGCCACUGGGAGGGCGUCACCUGCGACAUGGCCUUUGGAAGAGUCAUUUCUCUUGACCUCAGUGAGUUCCACCUAAUGAGCAGGCGUCUUGAUCCUGCGCUCUUCAACCUCACCUCUCUCAGGAACCUCAGCCUUGCAUCUGUUGACUUCAGUGGAUAUUUCAUUUCGCUCCCGGCUUUUGGGUUUGAGCGGCUCACGGAUAUCAUUUACCUCAACCUCUCUGAUACCGGUUUUAAGGGUAAGAUCCCAAUUGGAAUUGCGUGCCUCAAGAACCUUGUGACCAUUGACUUGUCUGGUAAUUACAACUUGUAUUUUGAACGGCCAAGUUUCCAAACCAUCAUGGCAAAUAUGAGCAAUCUGAGGGAGCUUUAUCUUGAUGAAGUGGGUUUACAGGACAUCGGAUCGGAUUGGUCCACUGUUUUAGCAGACUCCGUUCCCCAGCUACAGAUUCUUAGUUUGUCCCGCUGUGAUAUAUCAGGUUCUAUCCACCCUUCAUUCUCAAGGCUUCGCUCACUUACAGCGAUCAACCUCGGAUACAAUGAUGGACUCACCGGCGGCAAAGUCCCGGAGUACUUUUCUGAACUAUCUUCCUUGACCAUUUUAGACAUAUCAGGAAAUCAAUUUGAAGGGCAAUUUCCAACAAAAAUAUUCCAGCUAAAAAGUUUGAGGACGCUUGAUUUGUCCUGGAACCCCAUGCUUUCUACGAGAUUAACAUAUUUCCCAGCUGGAAACAAUUUGGAAGUACUAAAUCUAGAAGGGACCAAUUUCUCUUAUGACACGCCAUCCUCGUUUGGUAAUCUCGAGUCUUUACAGACAUUGGGGCUUAGCACGAUGGGCAUUGAUAAUGAACUCGCCUCUUUGAUAUCUGAGCUUCCAGCAUUGGAUGACCUGCAACUCUUUGGGUCAGGUUUGGAGAACCCGGUAUUAUCUUGGGUCAGCAAUCUUACCCAAUUGACAAACCUGCAGCUUGAUGGUUAUGACUUCACUAAAUCGGUUCCCACUUGGAUCGGCAAAUUGACAAGGCUGGAAAGUUUGACGAUAGAGGAUUGCAGUUUCUCCGUGCCAAUACCAUACCAGAUUAGAAAUCUUACUAAAUUGGCAGCGCUGCAGUUCUCAGGUUGCGACUUCGCUGAGCAAAGAAUGCCAUCAUGGAUAGGCAAUCUUACAAAGUUGACUUCUUUGGUCAUUGGUGGUUGCAGUUUAUCUGGGCCAAUACCCUCAACAAUUGGGAACCUGAUCCAACUUGAAGAGUUGAAGUUCUCCUAUACUGACAUCAGCGGUGAGACUAUGUCCCAGUUACUUUCUUUCUAGAUACCUCAUUUUAUUUUGCAACUGUAGACAGACGCUUUAAUUUCUUUAAUUCGCUCUUGCUCCUCAUACUCGAACUAGGAAGCAGGGGAUACCUACUAUAUGACACGUCAUGCAUACACUGUUAAAAAAAAUAAUGAAUUUAAGUGAAGAAGAAAAUUUAACACUACCAAAUCAAUAGAGUGACCUUCAGAAAAAAAGAAAAAGGCUUUGGCUAGUAAUUUUCGGCGCUGUUGAGAAAAGAAAAACCCUGAUAUUUUCACUUUGAGUCUAUGACCAAAUUUUCAUAGUUUCACAGUUUGGAAGGUUAGAUGCCUUUAACACUAGUACACACGAGUCACGACUCAGGUCUUCUUUUCCUUCUUUUUUUUCUCUCUUGACAUGAUUCAUUUCAGAUACCAUAAUACAGUAUUGGUCCAUUUAUAAAUAUACCAAGGAAUAUUAAUUUUUUCGGACAGGCCUUUUUUAUUAUUUUGAUCAGAUUUACAUGUAAAUGUUCUCUAACAAGAAAUCAACUUUAGUAUAUAUCAUUUGUAGAUCGAAACACUGGAUCUGUAAAAUAUAUAUUGAAUAUGUUGUGUUAACGUUGUUCAACUUUCUCCGGUCUAAGGCCUCUUUGAAACAAAGGAACAACAAAAGAACUAUUGAAAAACCUGAGCGUGGUCUCUCUCUCCCUCUCUUUCUCUCUCAAACCUGAGCGUGGUCUGGAUUUUCUACUGAUUUGUGAAGGAAGAGGACCCUUUCUUUCUUGUGGAAUUGGAAUUGGAUGGUGCAUUCCCAAAUUCCAAAAUCCAAACGGUACUUUCCUUUCCUCCGGAACGCAGUUACUUUAGUGUCCUUGCCCCCUGUCAGUUUCGUCGCUUUUUUAGGCUAGUCUCAAUGCACAACUUCAUUGCAUUGUUACCAAAACUGCAAACUUGGUAACUGUGCCUGUUGGAUUUCAUGGGAAUGAAACUCCUCUCCCAUUUCAUGAAACUCCAUCCUCUCUCCUCAUAAAGACUUUGCCAAAUCAGCAAAAUUGCUGAUGUGGUAUAGAAAUUAAUGCUGAUGAAACUUUUUAUAAAACUUUCACUGAGACUAGCCUUAGAUUGCAGCAACAUUCGGAUAUGUUUAGCUCCAAUGUAAUGAGAUGCUAAUUUGGUUCAAUUUCAUACUAGCACUUUCAGUGUGAAAAAACAUUAAUAAAGUCUGCAACAUUCUGACUGUUGGUAUUCUACCCUAACAUGCAGGAAAAAUUCCGAAGUCUUUGUUCACUCUUCCAGGCCUGCAGCAUCUUCAUCUAAUUAAGAAUCAGCUUGUUGGCUCACUAGAAGACAUUCCUGCUCCUUUAUCGUCACCAUUGCGGGAGAUUGAUUUAGGAGGUAAUCAAUUGACAGGCCCAAUACCAAAAUCACUUUUUCAGCUCACGAAUCUUGAGCGUCUCAGUCUUGAAUCGAAUAAAUUGACAGGCACAAUAGAACUUGGCUCUAUAUGGAGGUUGAAAAAUCUCACUUAUCUUAACCUGGGUAACAAUUUGAUAUCACUCGUAGAAAAAGAAGGUGAUAUGAUAUUCUCUUAUUCCCUUAAAAUCCAAGAGUUAUACCUUCCAUCUUGCAACCUUACAAAAUUUCCGGAAUCAUUAAAAUAUCUUGACACUAUUCAAGUUCUCGACCUUUCUAAUAACCAAAUCGAAGGGGCCAUACCUAGUUGGGUGUGGGAGAAUCCCCUUGUUGAGUUGGAGCUCUCACGCAACAUGUUUACUACUUUAGAGAAGUCUCCUGCUGUUCAGAUGACACAUUUAGUUUUUCUUAAUCUCAGUGUUAAUAGAAUUCAAGGAAGCAUACCAAUACCAUCAACUCCAUCCGACCUGGUUCUGUUGGAUUACUCAAAUAAUGAUUUCUCUACCAUUGAACCUAACUUUGGCAGGUAUCUUAGAAAUGCCAUCUACAUCAAUUUGUCAAAAAAUAAAUUAAGUGGCCAUGUACCACUUUCAUUUUGUAGUUUAAGCCAACUUGAGCUCAUGGACUUAUCUUACAAUAACUUUAGUGGACCAAUUCCAUCAUGUCUUAUGGAAAGAGUUGACCUGAGCAUAUUGAAGUUAAGAGGAAACAAAUUACAUGGCGUGCUACCUGAAAAUAUUAGAGAAGGAUGUAAGCUUCAGACAAUUGAUUUCAAUGAAAAUCAAAUUGAAGGUGCGCUACCUAGAUCACUAGCAAAUUGCCAAGACUUAGAGGUUCUUGAUGUUGGCAGUAAUCAUAUUGUAGAUUCAUUUCCAUCAUGGAUGGGUACUCUUCCAAAGCUUCGAAUUCUUGUGUUGAGAUCUAACCAACUGUAUGGCACUAUAAGGGAUCUUCGCAGUGGCUACCAACACUUCACAAGUUUGCAAAUAGUUGAUUUGGCCUCCAACCAUUUCUCUGGUGUCUUACAUUCUGAAUGGUUUGAGAAUUUUAUUUCAAUGAUGAAUAACAACAAUGAUGAGGGGCAGAUAUUAGAGCACGAAACAAAUGCAUCACGGGCACCAUUGUAUCAAGAUACUGUCACUAUCACAUUCAAAGAUGCUGAUUUAAGCAUCACCAAAAUCCUUACUACUUUCAAAGUAAUUGAUUUGUCAAAUAACUCAUUUGAGGGUUCCAUUCCAAGUUCAAUUGGAAGGCUUGCUUCACUUCACGGACUUAACAUGUCGCACAAUAACUUCACGGGAGAAAUUCCAUCACAACUUGGGAGGUUAACAAGGUUGGAAUCAAUAGAUCUCUCUUGCAACAAUCUCUCGGGAGAAAUUCCACAGGAGUUUACCUCCCUAACUUCUCUUUCCUGGUUGAACCUUUCGUAUAACAACUUGACGGGAAGAAUACCGCAGGGAAACCAAUUCUUGUCAUUUCCCAGCAGUUCGUUUGAAGGCAAUGCUGGUCUAUGUGGAAUUCAGCUUUCCAAGGAAUGUGACACUCGUCCAGAUUCAACCACCCCAAGCACAUUGGCUCCACAACGCAAUACUUUGUGGCAGGAUAGACUUGAUGCCAUCAUUUUGUUCCUCUGUGCUGGCUUGGGCUUUGGCGUGGGUUUUGCAUUGGCAAUCAUAUUCGGUCCCUUUUACCACAUAGAAGAAUGGCUUUGCAAGCAUUUGUAAUAGUAAUAUAAGUUUUCAACAAGAAUAAUUAUGUAUGUUUGUCUUGUUCUCGUUAUUAGAUGAGACAUUUUAAAUCCACUCAGUUGUAAUUACGUUGUAACUAGUCCAUCAACCCGUACUUCCACAUGAGCUAGUAUUUUCAAAAGCUGUUGUAUUUGAAAAUUAUUUAGAAAUUAAACACCUUGCUAAUAAUCAAAAUUAUUUACUUAUUACUCUCUCAUUUUUCAACACUUCAACGUAGUACUCAAAUAGAUGUGUACUUAUUUUUAUCCAGUUGUGAUUGAUUUUUAAUUAGUAAUUACUCUAUACACUUUUUCAUCCACAUUCACACUUUUUUAUUUUAUAUCACACCUCCAUAAAUUGUGUUUAGCAUCAAAAUUAAUAUUUUUCAUCACUUCCUCACAUACAUGUAUAAAUGGUCUACAUGGUGUCAUUCAUCAUGUCUAUAUACCUUAAUUUAAUAUUUCUAUAUUAACAAUGACAUAAACUGGUAAUUUAAAAUCAUAUAUUAGUUUAUUUUUGGAUAUUUCUGUAUGAUGCACAUGCAUGAAGAUAAUUAAAUUAAGAAUUAUCUGUUUACUUUAGAUUAUUUUUAAAAACGACGUACAUGGGUAACUUAGAUACAAAUUUAGAAUGACAUUUUAAGUUAUGCUUUAUAACGAUAGUCAUGAUUAAAUUGGAUGAAGAUUAUGGGUUACUUUACAUUAUCUUUUAUAAUGGCAGGUAAAUUAGAUAUAGGUUUAGGGUUUAUAAUGAUAGUGGUGGGUAAGUUUUUAGAAAAUAUAAUAGACCAAUGACUAUGAUUAAUAUAGUUUGCAUGAUUGAUAUUUGAUAUUUAUGAUUAUUGUGAGAAUUUCUAGGAUUUGUGUUUUUUAGCGUAUCUCUUGAGAACUAAUGCAGAGUCUCCAAUGAAAAAAAAAUAAGGCCACAUCGCUAAAAAAAUUACCUUGAGCUAUUUCUCAUUUAUUAAAUAUUGAAACACAAUAGUUAUAUAGAUAUAUAAUUAUGAUCGAUAGAUUUUAAUUGGUAAUUUCUCUUCAACAUUUUCAUCCACAUUUGUAUUGAAGAUAUGCGCUUGAAUUUGUUUAAUGGAUCUUAAGUUUGAGCUAUCAUUUUAACAUAGAAAUUUGUAUUUCCAUCACUUUCUCUAUAUCUUUAUGAAUGGUGACACACAUCAUGCCUAUAUACCUUAAUUAUUAUAUCGUAUACCUACAGCGUAAGAAAUAGACGAUUUAAUAUCGUAUUUUGAUGUAUAUUUUUAUUUAAGGUGAUUUGGAUUCAAAUGUAGUUUACCUCAUGUUAUUUCUAAAUAGCAUAUGUGGGUAAUAAAGAUGCAAAUUUAAGGGGUCAUGUUAACUUAUUUUUUAAGUAUUAGUGGUGGGAUAUUUAGUUGCAAAUUUAGGGGGUUAUUUUAAAUGUUAUUUAUAAUGGUAUAAGUGGGUAACUUUGAUAAAGAUUAGGUGGUUACUUUAGUUUAGUUUAUAUAAUGGUAGAGGUGGGUAAUUUAGAUAUAGACUAGCAAAAUAUCGUGCGUUGCUACGGUAAAAGAUCAAUUCUAAUGAUAUUUUUUAUUUCCAUCACUAAAUUUUUAUUCCACUUAUUGGACGUCUACACAUUUAAUAGAAAACUAAAAGAAUUUUGACUUAAUUAUUUCCUUCAACUCAAAUACCCAUUACAUUAAAAUAUUUUUUAUUCAAGCAAGAGAGUUAAAUCAGCCUCAUAUGGCCACCGAUGGGGCUCUUUAGUCCUUCUAGCCAUGUAAUAUCUUUUCACAUGUAUUUCAUCAAACAGGAGACGGCACGCUCAAACUUUUCCAUCAUGCACAUCCCGUUGUAGGUACGGUGGCUUAGGUUACACCUUAUUUGGAUGGGCUAUAACUACCUUUUAAAUGGUUAAUUAGGGGGUGUUUAGUAGCACUCAACUUCAAUUUUUUUAGCUCCACUCUACCAACUCCACUCCAGUUUAAUUUUUUUAGCUCCACUCCACUUCAACUCCACUCUACCAACUUGAGAAAAAUAAUAAAGUUGUCUACGUACUUGGCAGAAACAUGCCGUGCCCCCCCCCCCCCCCCCCCCCCCGCAAUAGCAAACCAACAGGCUGCCUUCUUCACCGGUCAAGCAAGCUGCUUGCUCCUCUCUCAAAUCCGAACAACAGUGCAACGCCCGAACAACAGUGCAACGACGGGCGGAGAGCCUGGCGCGAGCGGAGCAGCAGCCUAACCCUGGCCAUGACCUCCACCCCGACGAUCCAAGCAGCAGCAGCGUGGCCCCUGCUCCGGCCCCGACCCCAGCGAGGUGACCCAACCGUGGAGGGCAGGGGCGGCGCGGCCACGGUGGGACCUCCCCUGGUCGCCUCGGCGGGCAAGAGGAUCCUGAAGCCCUAAAACGUGCCGAAAGCAGUUACCUGAGACACUGUUACAGUAACCUUUGGGGGUGGAGCAUCACAGCAAUACAGCACAGAGUAAAAUCUCUGAGGAUUCCAUGCUUUUUGCGACAGCAACUCUCGUUAGUACGUACAGGCAAGUGAUGCAAAACAUGGCAUAACUACAUCUAAAGCAUUAUCUGCUCUUUACAUGCUGAUUUUAACUCUGUACAGCAAGGAAACGGGAGCAUUUUUUUCCCCUGAAAAUCUGUAUAGUUCUGAAGUGUUGUACAUCUUCGUAAAAGAUUAAUUGAAAAAUGAUAUAGCACAACAUACAACCACACUUGCUAAUUCAAACGACACGAAGCAACACCUCAUAUAGAUCCAAUUCCAACAAAUAUAAGCAGAACAUAUGUCCCAUUUUCCAUCAAACAAGUUUUGUACAAAAGUUCUAUAAGCGGAUUAGCACCACCUCAUAUCUUUUUUACAGUAUACAACCAUAAGAAAAAUAGAAAAAUAAGAGUCGCCAGAUUUCUGUGGCAUGCGAGUGCGAUAGGGUAGCUGAGGUCACCUAUACGAGGGGCGAUAGGGGGAUCUGCUACGGAUGGGGCUUGGACUUCGGUCCCUGCAGCCCCUCCGGCCGCGGUACCGCGCGGGGGGUGGCGACCGCGACAGGUCGCGCGGCAUCGCGCGCGACGAGAUCUAGAGCCUCCGCGGAGCCCGGAACCCCACGGAUCUGGCCGAGACCCGACGAUCGGAGAGGCACGGUGGUUGAAAGGAGGUCAGUGAAGGGGGGUUGAAGAUGCCGGUAGCUCAGCACAGUGGCACAACUGAGCAUUCCUUUCCUCAAUCUCCCGAUUCAUGUCAUCCCACUUCUGAUCUAGUUCCUCGAGCUUGGCCAGUAUCACAGCACACAUCUCCUCCGUCAUGUUCACUCGUGUUCCGAUGCGGUGGUAGUGGUGGUUUUUUGAUCGAAAUAGUUGUGAACCAAAUGUCACACCCUAGAUGCAACUCACAGAACAAAUUAUCCCCCAACGAUGAACUACGGAAUAUAUAUAUGAAGUAUACUAGAAUUUGGAUACACAUGGAUGAGGAACUCGCUAGUGUUCUCGAGCCGAAGCUUGCCACCGCAGAGCCAAUGAGUCCCAAAUCCAGUUCUUCUUUCCCUCACGACGACUUUUUAAUCCUCUUACAUGCUGCGCCAGCUAUGCUGCAGCGAUGCCCGUUCAUGGGCCUAUCUUAACUACCUUAGCCAUUCGGGCCCAACAAGGAUAAUGUUGGGCUUCCGUACCUGAUGGCCCACAACUUCGGCUUUACUGCACUUUAGAUAAAUAUCAUGUACGGUUCACUAGAGAAGCCUCCACCAGUGAUAGUUGCUAGUUAGUACAGGUCUUAUCUACAACCUUGCAUUAGCUAUCUCACUCUAGUUUGGCUAGCUGUCUGCUUACUCGAAGCUUGAGGCAUGUUUCUUUAAUAUAGUUUUCUUUUCUUCUUGGAUGUUUAUAGCACAUACGUGAUCUUUUGAAGUACUGCUAUAGAGAGGAAGACAAGUUCUUCUCAUUUAACAUCUUUUUUUUUUCAAUUUAUUUUUGUUAAACUUUUAGAUCAAUCGUUUGAAUUCUCCUCAAUAUUUGCUUGCUUCAUGUUCUCUUUGUUUUUGUGCAACAGUAUGAUCUUGGAAUAGGAAUGCUGCAAGACAAUUCAAAUAGAAGGUUAGUUUCAUCAUAUUAUAUGGUUAAAAUUACUUUAAAAUUAUAUGGUUAAAAUUACUUUGUAAUGGUUGACUGUCACUGUUGUUUGCAUUGGCAGAUCAUGGAUGGAAUUCCUGCAAGAGCCAAGCACAAACUGUUGUCAGCGCUUCUCUGUUGAUGUUUCGUUUCUCGUUACCACCUUUCUUGCAGACCGGUUAGGGUUAGGUUACACCAUCUGCUUCAGGUGAUUUCGGGAAUGUGGAAUGUUUCCUCUUCAUUUGAGAAGAAAGAGAGAGUGUUUUGUUCGAAUAUUACAGGUGCGUAUGUUUAUGCAUGGCUUUUCAGGGCUCAAAUCAAGGGGAAAAAAUAGACUAAUGGGCUGGUAAAUUUAUGUUCUGGUAAAAAUAGACUAAUGGCUUUAUUUAGUUCCAAGAAUCCUGGUGAACUCCGGAACUUAAAAUGAAAUCCUAAAAUUGUUUCUCUAACCUCCUAUCUCAAUAUGGGCUGUUCUUUUUUUUUUUCUUUCUGGUCAACUAUUUCCCCCAACUUACGGACCCAUCUCGGCCUGCAGGCCUGCCGAGGCCUCUUCUCUCCUUUCGUCGUUCGGUCCCUCUAAUUUCGCUCUUGUGCUUGCGCACCAGGCGCCAUCUCUCACCGCGCCAGGAGCUUUGCAGCGCCAGACGGCCCCGCUCCACACCACAAUAUUCUUCCUUGGAACCUGCGGGCUCCGCUGAGCCGCUGCGUGAUCUUCUAUUCGCGACUCUGUGUACCUCGCCGUGUUACAAUUGCCUUCACUUUACUUCAUCAUUGCUCUCUAACCUAGGUACUCGGUUAUGAACAGCGCGCCGGCUAAGCGAGUACCCGGUGAAGGCGAGCGCAACGAGCCCUAGCACAUGGCAUCCAUCGAAAACUACAUAAUUUUCAGAGUAUGGAAUUUUCAGUCCGCGGUGUGGCCAACAUUAUCUUUAUAUGAUUAUAUUUGCAAACAGAGUUUUUAAGUAACAACGCAAAUAAAACACUCUCGUGUCAUUGCUCUAAAGGGGGAGAAAGGAAUAACAGAAACAACACCGUGCCAUUCCCCAGAAACAAAGAACAACGGUAAAAGUGGUUCUAGAUGAAGCUUAAAUUGACCAUCGAUGGCGAUUGUAUCGACACGGCAAACAUCCAGACAGCUAGCAUUGACUGACUUGGCCUAUUGAGUACUCCGCGGAACUCGGUACGUCUUAUGACAAGUCUCGUUUGACUCGAAUUAUUGACCUUCACUGUCCUUCGUCAUUGCUCUCUAACCUAGGUACUCGGUUAUGAACAACGUGCCGGCUAAGUGAGUACUCGGUGAAGGCGAGCCCAACUUGCCCCAGCACAUCGCAUCCAUCGAAAAUACAGAAUUUCCAAAGUAUGGAAUUUUCAGUGUGCGUUGUGGCCAACACUAUCUUUAUAUGUUUUAUUUGCAAACCGAGUUUUUAAGUAACAACGCAAAUAAAACACUCUCGUAUCAUUGCUCUAAAGGGGGAGUAAGGAAUAACAGAAAUAACGUCGUGCCAUUCCCCGGAAACAAAGAACAACCGUAAAAAUUGGUUCUAGAUGAAGCUAAAUUGAUCAUCGAUGGCGAUUGUAUCGACACGGCAAACAUCCAGACAGCUAGCAUUGACUGACUUGGCUGAUACAUCCACUUCACUGUUGAGUACUCCAGGGAACUCGACAGGUCUUAUGACAAGUCUCGGUUGACUCGAAUUGUUGACCUUAGGACAGUGACCUUGAUUUCCUCAUCCCCUUUCCUAUUGUCUUGCGGUCCUGAUGCCCAUUACCCAGUGCCUACCAGUGUGUGCUUCUCCCUCCGAUUGUACAUACGUGCGGGUCCCACAUGUCAGCCCCUUCCAUCCUCUUUACUUUAUAAUCUCCAAAGCAUGGGCCGCCCUUCUUUGUUACCUGUAUGGCUGUAUCACCUCCCCUGCCGAUGAGUGCCCAUGCAUGCUGAUACUUUGGUACCAUCUGCUCCAACCAAGCACCACCUCUCAUGCAAGUCAACAUAGAUGGUAUUUGGUGUCAAUUCACUGGUUAUAUUUUUAAAUGAAUUUAAUAUAAAUUUUGAUUAUCUAUUGCUUCUAAAUUCCUGUCGAAAUUAAUUUGAUAAUUUUUUAACCUAUAAUAUCCUAUACUUCAUUUUAUGAGGAAACUAUCAGAAAAUGAAUUGUAAUUUUUAUGACUCAUAUCUAUUUCCUCUCUUUAUUAGAUAUUUUGCUUUCCAAUUGUAUGUAAUCAAACUUUUAUUUAUUUUUAUCAUUCGGAGUUUUAGUUUUUUAUUACUUCCAUGUCAAGAUGAUAUUCUGGACAAGAUUCCAAUCAACCUUUUGAAAAUCUAACCACUAUUGACAGCUUUUAGAAUAUUCAGUUUGAAAAUUUAGAAUACUCAUUGAAAGACAUAAUAUAAUAUUUUGUAUGUUUAUAUAAUAUCUUCUUACUGAAAAUAGUGGCCACACAGCUAUGUUAUCCAAAACACCACCUUUUCUUUAAGAACGGGGGAACGAUUGUUUUUUUUCUAUUUUAUUAAUAUGAUAUUUUAUAGUCAAUCCGGAGACUUGUUUUCUCUUAGCUUUGCCUUAUUAAAAUAACAAUUGAAGAUUCCGUAAUGUGUGGUUCAGAUAUUUACUUCCAUGCGAGUUUAUAUUUUGGCUCCAGUUCGCUGGUCUUCCUCUCGAGUCAGCGACCGGAACGAGAGAACAGAAUAUCUACACACGAUUGAUUGGAAUUUGGAAACUGCAAACCAGUAGCGCAAUGGCUCCUGCCAUGGAUCGCCUCCACAACCUUCUGGUCCUGCUCUUGUUCAUAGGUUGCCUCUUCAUAGAUGCUGCCGCCAAGCUUAACACCACAGCGCCUUGCCUCCCGGAUCAAGCUUCUUCCCUCCUCCGGCUAAAAGCUUCCUUCAUCGGUGACAACCUACCAUCAUGGCAAGCUGCAACAGAUUGUUGCCACUGGGAGGGCGUCACCUGCGACAUGGCCUUUGGAAGAGUCAUUUCUCUUGACCUCAGUGAGUUCCACCACCUAAUGAGCAGUCGUCUUGAUCCUGCGCUCUUCAACCUCACCUCUCUCAGGAACCUCAGCCUUGCAUCUGUUGACUUCAGAGGAGUCUCGCUCCCGGCUUUUGGGUUUGAGCGGCUCACGGAUAUCAUUUACCUCAACCUCUCUGAUACCGGUUUUAUGGGUAAGAUCCCAAUUGGAAUUGCGUGCCUCAAGAACCUUGUGACCAUUGACUUGUCUUAUAAUUACGAAUUGUAUUUUGAACGGCCAAGUUUCCAAACCAUCAUGGCAAAUAUGAGCAAUCUGAGGGAGCUUUAUCUUGAUGAAGUGGGUUUACAGAACAUCGGAUCGGAUUGGUCCACUGUUUUAGCAGACUCCGUUCCCCAGCUACAGAUUCUUAGCUUG
rnacentral:lncRNA from 1 species